rnacentral:rRNA from 1 species
CCCUACGGGGCGCAGCAGGCGCGAAAACUUUACAAUGCUGGAAACAGCGAUAAGGGGACCUCAAGUGCCAGGUUACAAAUCUGGCUGUCGUGAUGCCUAAAAAGCAGGGAGAGUAAGGGCUGGGUAAGACGGGUGCCAGCCGCCGCGGUAAUACCCGCAGCCCGAGUGGUGCUCGUUAUUAUUGGGCCUAAAACGUCCGUAGCCGGCCUUGUAAAUCCAUGUGGAAAUCGGAGGGCUCAACCCUCCGAAGGGCGUGGACACUGCAAGGCUUGGGACUGGGUGAGUUCGGAGGUACUUCCGGGGUAGGGGUGAAAUCCUGUAAUCC